rnacentral:rRNA from 1 species
GUGGGGAAUCUUGCGCAAUGGGCGAAAGCCUGACGCAGCCAUGCCGCGUGAAUGAUGAAGGUCUUAGGAUUGUAAAAUUCUUUCACCGGGGACGAUAAUGACGGUACCCGGAGAAGAAGCCCCGGCUAACUUCGUGCCAGCAGCCGCGGUAAUACGAAGGGGGCUAGCGUUGCUCGGAAUUACUGGGCGUAAAGGGCGCGUAGGCGGACAGUUUAGUCAGAGGUGAAAGCCCAGGGCUCAACCUUGGAAUUGCCUUUGAUACUGGCUGUCUUGAGUACGGGAGAGGUGAGUGGAACUCCGAGUGUAGAGGUGAAAUUCGUAGAUAUUCGGAAGAACACCAGUGGCGAAGGCGACUCACUGGCCCGUUACUGACGCUGAGGCGCGAAAGCGUGGGGAGCAAACAGGAUUAGAUACCUUGGUAGUCC